rnacentral:rRNA from 1 species
CUCUUAAGAUUGAGCUGUGAUGGGGAGAGGAACUUGUUCCUCGAGUCGUUGAUUUCACACUGCCGAGAAAAGCCUCUAGCUAGAAUAACGGUGCCCGUACCGCAAACCGACACAGGUAGUCAAGAUGAGAAUUCUAAGGUGAGCGAGCGAACUCUCGUUAAGGAACUCGGCAAAAUGACCCCGUAACUUCGGGAGAAGGGGUGCUCUUUGAGGUUCACGCUUCGAAGAGCCGCAGUGAAUAGGCCCAAGCGACUGUUUAUCAAAAACACAGGUCUCUGCU